rnacentral:tRNA from 1 species
GGGGUUGUAGCUCAGCUGGUUUAGAGCGCUCGCCUGUCACGCGAGAGGUCGCGGGUUCAAGUCCCGUCAGCCCCGCCA